rnacentral:rRNA from 1 species
GACGAACGCUGGCGGCGUGCUUAACACAUGCAAGUCGAACGGAAAGGCCCUGCUUUUGUCGGGUGCUCGAGUGGCGAACGGGUGAGUAACACGUGAGUAACCUGCCCUUGACUUUGGGAUAACUUCAGGAAACUGGGGCUAAUACCGGAUAGGAGCUCCUGCUGCAUGGUGGGGGUUGGAAAGUUUCGGCGGUUGGGGAUGGACUCGCGGCUUAUCAGCUUGUUGGUGGGGUAGUGUCUUACCAAGUCUUUGACGGGUAGGCGGCCUGGGAGGGUGACCGGACAAAUUGGGCCUGAGAUACGACCCAGACUCCUACGGGAGGCAGCAGUGGGGAAUGUUGCACAAGGGGCGGAAGCCUGAUGCAGCAACGCCGCGUGCGGGAUGACGGCCUUCGGGUUGUAUAGCGAUGUCGCCUGGGACGAAGCGUGAGUGACGGUAAUGGGUAAAGAAGCACCGGCUAACUACGUG